CGAUGAUACGGUAGUGGCCUACCAUGUUGCAACGGGGACGGAGAAUUAGGGUUCGGUUCCGGAGAGGCUGAGAACGGCUACCACAUCCGGCAGCAGGCGCGCAAUUACCAAUCCCGACUCGGGGAGGUAGUGACAAUAAAUAACAAUGCUGGUCCGGCAAUUGGAAUGAGACAAUCUAAAUAACGAGAACAAGGGCAAGUCUGGUGCCUUCCAGCUCCAAUAGCGUAUAUUAAAGUUGUUGGAUUUCGGGGGCCCGACGGUCCGCCCGAGGUGGUCCCUCUCGGAGGCCCCGACUGCUCUUUGCUGUCGGGGUUCGGGACGUUUACUUUGAAAAAAUUAGAGUGUUCAAGGCAGGCUGAAUACAUUAGCAUGGAAUAAUGGAAGAGGAUUUUGUUGGUUUCUUGGCCGAAGUAAUGAUUAAGAGGGACAGUU
rnacentral:rRNA from 1 species